CCGGGGUGGAGUAAUGUCUGGGAAACUGCCUGAUGGAGGGGGAUAACUGCUGGAAACGGUAGCUAAUACCGCAUAACGUCGCAAGACCAAAGAGGGGACCUUCGGGCCUCUUGCCAUCGGAUGUGCCCAGAUGGGAUUAGCUAGUAGGUGGGGUAACGGCUCACCUAGGCGACGAUCCCUAGCUGGUCUGAGAGGAUGACCAGCCACACUGGAACUGAGACACGGUCCAG
rnacentral:rRNA from 1 species